UACGAGGGGGGCGAGCGUUGUUCGGAAUUAUUGGGCGUAAAGCGUGCGCAGGCGGUUUUGUAAGUCUGUCGUGAAAUCCCCGGGCUUAACCUGGGAAUGGCGAUGGAGACUGCAAGGCUAGAGUUUGGCAGAGGGGGGUAGAAUUCCACGUGUAGCAGUGAAAUGCGUAGAGAUGUGGAGGAACACCGAUGGCGUAGGCAGCCCCCUGGGUCAAAACUGACGCUCAUGCACGAAAGCGUGGGGAGCAAACAGG
rnacentral:rRNA from 1 species